rnacentral:rRNA from 1 species
CCUACGGGAGGCAGCAGUGGGGAAUAUUGCGCAAUGGGGGCAACCCUGACGCAGCAACGCCGCGUGAUUGAAGAAGGCCUUCGGGUUGUAAAGAUCUUUAAUCGGGGACGAAUUUUGACGGUACCCGAAGAAUAAGCUCCGGCUAACUACGUGCCAGCAGCCGCGGUAAUACGUAGGGAGCAAGCGUUAUCCGGAUUUACUGGGUGUAAAGGGCGUGUAGGCGGGCAUGCAAGCCAGAAGUGAAAUCUGGGGGCUUAACCCCCAAACUGCUUUUGGAACUGCGUGUCUUGAGUGAUGGAGAGGCA